rnacentral:rRNA from 1 species
UGGGGGAUAUUGCACAAUGGGCGAAAGCCUGAUGCAGCGACGCCGCGUGGGGGAUGAAGGCCUUCGGGUUGUAAACUUCUUUUGCUCUGAACAAGGCGCACCAUGGGGUGUGUUGAGUGUAGGGGUUGAUUAGCGCCGGCUAACUACGUGCCAGCAGCCGCGGUAAUACGUAGGGCGCGAGCGUUGUCCGGAAUUAUUGGGCGUGAAGGGAUUGUAGGUGGCUGGUUGCGUCUGUCGUGAAAGCUCAUGGCUUAACUGUGGGUUUGCGGUGGGUACGGGCUGGCUUGAGUGCAGUAGGGGAGGCUGGAAUUCCUGGUGUAGCGGUGGAAUGCGCAGAUAUCAGGAGGAAUACCGGUGGCGAAGGCGGGUCUCUGGGCUGUUACUGACACUGAGGAGCGAAAGCAUGGGGAGCGAACAGG